rnacentral:rRNA from 1 species
CUACGGAGGGUCCAAGCGUUAUCCGGAAUCAUUGGGUUUAAAGGGUCCGCAGGCGGUCAAUUAAGUCAGAGGUGAAAGCCCAUCGCUCAACGAUGGAACUGCCUUUGAUACUGGUUGACUUGAGUUAUACGGAAGUAGAUAGAAUAAGUAGUGUAGCGGUGAAAUGCAUAGAUAUUACCUAGAAUACCGAUUGCGAAGGCAGUCUACUACGUAUAUACUGACGCUGAGGGACGAAAGCGUGGGGAGCGAACAGGAUUAGAAACCCUAGUAGUCC